GACGAACGCUGGCGGCGUGCCUAAUACAUGCAAGUUGAGCGCUGAAGGUUGGUACUUGUACCAACUGGAUGAGCAGCGAACGGGUGAGUAACGCGUGGGUAAUCUGCCUUUGAGCGGGGGACAACAUUUGGAAACGAAUGCUAAUACCGCAUAAAAACUUUAAACACAAGUUUUAAUUUUGAAAGAUGCAAUUGCAUCACUCAAUGAUGAUCUCGCGUUGUAUUUGCUAGUUGGUGAGGUAAAGGCUCACCAAGGCGAUGAUACAUAGCCGAACUGGGAGGGUGGUUGGGCAAAUUGGGACUGAGACAACGCCCAAAAUUCUAAGGGAAGGAGCAAUAAGGAAUCUUCGGCAAUGGAGGAAAGUCUGGCCGAGCAAAGCCGCGGGAGUGAAGAAAGUUUUCGGAUCGGAAAAAUCUGGUGAUAGGGGAGAAAGUAAGGGAGAGGGGAAAACGCAUGAAGUGACGGUAACUACCCAGAAAGGGACGGCUAACUACGUG
rnacentral:rRNA from 1 species